rnacentral:lncRNA from 1 species
AUGAAAUUGGUUAUCGUGGGAUAUUUAAAAUAAAACAAAGAACAGUUUACUUUGUAAGUUAAGAGCUGAGGGAAUUGUUGGCUAAGACUGACUUGAAAUAACUCCAGCAAUUCAUGCAUAGCUGCUAACCUUCUACAUCUUCAGCAGGCAAAAAGAUGCCAGUAAUCAAUAUUGAGGACCUGACAGAAAAGGACAAAUUGAAGAUGGAAGUUGACCAGCUCAAGAAAGAAGUGACACUGGAAAGAAUGCUAAUCCCAGCCAGGCACCUUCAAAACCAAUCCCUUAUGGACUACUGAAUUAAGGACAGCAAGUUACACCUCUGUUCCUGUCAUCUGGGUGAAGCCAAAAGUAGUGACUUUUAGAGAGAGAGUGUGGGACCACUGAGGAAGAGGGAAAAAAGUGAAUCUAAAUUAAUGCAUAUUUCAAAAGUUAUGUGAAUCUGCAAGUAUCAUCCUUUGAAGGAAGAAACUAACCUGACAAAUGCUUCCUGGCUCCAGUUGAAAAUAAUUUGUUUUACUAUGUAAUUAAUGAGUCUGCCUAGUUAUAAAAUAAUCUUAAGUCUUAUAUCAAAUGUUCCUUGGAAUUUACAUAAAAGCGGACUAAAGAUUUCAUUUGAAAAAAAAAAAAA